CUCUGUGCCACCUUACAAUGGACAUCCCCUGCAGAAAGCAGAUACUAUAGCAUGAAGAAGGCUAAAUUCUGCCCUCCAGUUUCCACUGGGAGGAAACAGCAGUGGAGUUGACACUGGGGAGACAGUCAAUAUUGGCCUUGCCUUCAAGCUCCCAGAAGCCCCUGGAGUUUUGGUAAUCGUCUAUUUUGUAGGUACAAGACCUUUCUACAGGAUUCAGGCAUGUGCUGCUACAUUCUGCUACAUGGAAAAGCUGACCUGGUGGCCUUAGGAUUUCCCUCCCUGUUGGACUUCACAGAGGAAGAAUGUCAGAAUAAACAGGAGAGCACAGUGCCUCUCUCUAUAUAGCAGUGGUGGUGGACCUAUGGUACAUGUGUUGUUUUUCUUUUAAAACAAAAGAUGUUAAUAUAUGAGUUGUUUUUUCUAAACUAAAACCUCAGUAUUCAGGUUAAUUGCAGUGUUAGCACUUUGUGAUAAAUAAGUGGGUUUUGGGUUGCAGUUUGGGCACUCGUCUGAAAGGUUGACCAUCACUGCUCUAGAGCAUAGAAAGUCCCGUAUCCCAAGAGGCAACCUCGGAGAAAACAGGAUGGAGGAGAACACCACAACCAGGAAGGGUGGACAGGCUGCCAUGGAAGGUCACAGUUUGUAUGUGAGAAUGAGGAGAGCUACUUGAUACUUUCUAAAAAAAAAAAAAAAAAGAACAGCCAGGC